rnacentral:rRNA from 1 species
UACGUAGGGGGCUAGCGUUGUCCGGAAUCAUUGGGCGUAAAGCGCGUGUAGGCGGUUCGGUAAGUCUGCUGUGAAAGUCGGGGGCUCAACCCUCGAAUGCCGGUGGAUACUGUCGGACUAGAGUGCGGAAGAGGCGAGUGGAAUUCCUGGUGUAGCGGUGAAAUGCGCAGAUAUCAGGAAGAACACCCGUGGCGAAAGCGGCUCUCUGGAACGGUACUGGACGCUGAGACGCGAAAAGCGUGGGGAGCGAACAGG